ensembl:snRNA U6 U6 spliceosomal RNA
UUGCUUGUUUCCACAGUACAUAUGCUAAAAUUGGAGUGAUACAGGGAAGAUUAGCAUGGCCCUGCACAAGGAUGACACGCAAAUUCAUGAAGCAUUCUAUUAAAAA